UACGGAGGGUGCGAGCGUUGUCCGGAAUUAUUGGGCGUAAAGGGCUCGUAGGCGGUUUGUCGCGUCGGGCGUGAAAACUCAGGGCUCAACCCUGAGCGUGCUUCCGAUACGGGCAGACUAGAGGUAUGCAGGGGAGAACGGAAUUCCUGGUGUAGCGGUGGAAUGCGCAGAUAUCAGGAGGAACACCGGUGGCGAAGGCGGUUCUCUGGGCAUUACCUGACGCUGAGGAGCGAAAGCAUGGGGAGCGAACAGG
rnacentral:rRNA from 1 species